GAUGAACGCUGGCGGCGUGCCUAAUACAUGCAAGUAGAACGCUGAAGGAGGAGCUUGCUCUUCUGGAUGAGUUGCGAACGGGUGAGUAACGCGUAGGUAACCUGCCUGGUAGCGGGGGAUAACUAUUGGAAACGAUAGCUAAUACCGCAUGACAACAGUUAUUGCAUGAUAACUGUUUAAAAGGGGCAACUGCUCCACUACCAGAUGGACCUGCGUUGUAUUAGCUAGUUGGUGAGGUAACGGCUCACCAAGGCGACGAUACAUAGCCGACCUGAGAGGGUGAUCGGCCACACUGGGACUGAGACACGGCCCAGACUCCUACGGGAGGCAGCAGUAGGGAAUCUUCGGCAAUGGACGGAAGUCUGACCGAGCAACGCCGCGUGAGUGAAGAAGGUUUUCGGAUCGUAAAGCUCUGUUGUAAGAGAAGAACGAGUGUGAGAGUGGAAAGUGCACACUGUGACGGUAUCUGACCAGAAAGGGACGGCUAACUACGU
rnacentral:rRNA from 1 species